rnacentral:rRNA from 1 species
GGAUGACGGCCCUAUGGGUUGUAAACUUCUUUUGUACGGGAAAAACCUCUGGUCGUGAAUCAGAGCUGAUGGUACCGUAAGAAUAAGCAUCGGCUAACUCCGUGCCAGCAGCCGCGGUAAUACGGAGGAUGCAAGCGUUAUCCGGAUUCAUUGGGUUUAAAGGGUGCGCAGGCGGAAUAAUAAGUCAGCGGUGAAAGCCUACAGCUUAACUGUAGAACUGCCAUUGAUACUGUUAUUCUUGAGUGUUGUUGAGGUAGGCGGAAUGUGUCAUGUAGCGGUGAAAUGCUUAGAUAUGACACAGAACACCGAUCGCGAAGGCAGCUUACCAAGCAACAACUGACGCUCAUGCACGAAAGCGUGGGGAUCAAAACAGGAUUAGAUACCUGUAGUCCACGCCGAAACGAUGAUCACUCGAUGUUGGCGAUACACAGUCAGCGUCUUAG